ACUUGCUGAAGGUGGUUUCAAGUCACCCCCCACAACCAUGACACAUCGUGACCACUAUGCGAAUGGAGAAGCACGAUAGAUACAGCACACACACAGUGAAGAUACUGGACUGUCUCCACCUGGCAAAAACUCCUGGCCAAUUGGAAGAUAUUAUCACAUGUCACUAAAGGCACUGCCAAUACUACAGCUGGCAGUGCAAACUGCACCGCCCGUGAAGAAGCAGCAGGAGGAUGGACCCUCAGAACAUCACAGAGUCUGCAGUGGACAAUUUGAUCAUCUGUCCUUUUGGAAUUGGUCAUCUUCAGCUUCUCUCUUCAUUUAUUUCUCAGAGAGAUGGAACUUAUCCAGCCAGAGCCACAUAAAGAUUCAGUAUACAAUCAGCAUCUUCACGUUGACUUUUUUUUUUUUGUAUAUUUCUACAUCACCUUCUACUGUGUCUCAGUAAAUCUUUUUUUUUUUUUUAAAUGCAAAAACAACAGCAAUAUAUUGUCACUAAUGGGAGUACUGAAUAAAAUUUAGGCAUCAUGAUU